GCGGGCGUGGCGGAAUUGGCAGACGCGCAUGGUUGAGGGCCAUGUUCCCAAAAGGAGUGGAGGUUCGAAUCCUCUCGCCCGCA
rnacentral:tRNA from 1 species